rnacentral:piRNA from 1 species
AUCCAGCCUAAUGUAAGAAGUCACAGUUCUU